rnacentral:rRNA from 1 species
UACGGAGGAUGCGAGCGUUGUCCGGAUUUAUUGGGUUUAAAGGGUGCGUAGGCGGACGCUUAAGUCAGCGGUAAAAUUGCGGGGCUCAACCUCGUCGAGCCGUUGAAACUGGGUGCCUUGAGUGGGCGAGAAGUACGCGGAAUGCGUGGUGUAGCGGUGAAAUGCAUAGAUAUCACGCAGAACUCCGAUUGCGAAGGCAGCGUACCGGCGCCCAACUGACGCUGAAGCACGAAGGCGUGGGUAUCGAACAGG